UCUCGGGAUUCGUACUGUAACAUCUUCAUGAUCGAAACUUCGUUGCUUUCCCAUUCUGCUACGCUUGCUUCUGGUGCCUCACCCUUUCCUCCGCAUUUCCUCCCUCGCGAGGUUCUCGCAACUCUUCCAUUCUUCUCUCCGUUUUUGUUUUGGUUCAACUAUUAUGAAAUUCUUUUUUUCAGUUCUGCUACUUCAGUUGUCUUUGAUUAACUGAUCUGCUUGUUUUAAAUCAAAUUUCAAGAAUGAUUCUUUCUGCUCUUUUAACUUCUGUUGGAAUCAACCUUGGGCUCUGUUUUUUAUUUUUCACCCUGUACUCUAUAUUGAGGAAGCAGCCUGGUAAUAUCACUGUCUAUGCUCCACGCUUGGUAACUGAAGGAAAAUUUCAACAGGGAGAUCAUUUUAACUUGGAACAGCUAUUACCUUCUGCUAGUUGGGUGAAAAAAGCAUGGGAGCCCUCUGAAGAAGAAUUGAUAUCGAAAUCUGGUUUAGAUGCUUUUAUCUUCAUGCGCAUGUUUAUAUUUAGUUUGAGAGUAUUUUCUAUUGGUGGAAUUGUUGGGAUCUUCCUUCUUCUUCCAAUCAAUUAUAUGGGAAGUCAGCUUAGUGAUCAUUCAGACUUUCAAAAUAAGUCUUUGGACUCAUUCAGUAUUUCUAAUGUCAACAAUGGCUCAAACAGGUUAUGGAUUCAUUUUUGUGCUGCUUAUGUUUUCACCGGAGUUGUCUGCUAUCUUCUUUAUUAUGAGUAUGGCCAUAUUUCAUCAAAAAGACUUGCUCACUUUUUUUCAUCUGAACCCCUGCCCCAUCAAUUUACCAUAUUAGUCCGUGGUAUUCCUGUUCCUCCUGGAAGCACCUGCAAUGAAACUGUUGAGAGGUUUUUCAAGGAGUAUCAUCCUUCUACUUAUCUUUCACAUUCUGUAAUACGGCGAAGCAACAAACUCCAAAGUCUUAUAAAUGAUGCAGAGAAACUGUACAAAAAAUUUGCACAAAUAAAGGAUAAAAGUGAAGCUUCUCAAAGGCAAAGGUGUGAUGGAUGUUUUGGACUUUUUGGGCAUAAAGUUGAUCGUUUAGAAAGGAGGCUGCAAGACAUAGAAGAUAAUUUGAGAAUGGAACAGUCUUCACUAUCAGCAAAGGAAGUUCCAGCUGCCUUUGUCUCAUUUAAGUCUAGAUUUGGAGCUGCAAUAGCUUUAAACAUUCAAGGUGUCAAUCCCACAGAAUGGAUUACUGAGAAAGCUCCUGAGCCCCUUGAUGUGCAUUGGCCUUUCUUUUCUGAGUCAUUCAUUAAAAGAUGGAUCGGGAAGCUUGUGGCUAUUUUUGCCUGUGCUGCACUUACAAUUCUAUUUUUCAUCCCAGUGGCAAUAGUACAAGGUCUUACCAAUCUGGAGCAGUUGGAAACCUGGUUCCCUUUUCUUAAAAGCAUACUAAGAAUGGCAGUUGUGAGCCAAGUUAUAACAGGAUAUCUUCCCAGUCUGAUUCUGCAAUUGUUUCUGUCUGUUGUGCCACCUAGUAUGAUUGUGCUUUCAUCCUUGCAAGGAUACAUCUCAUGGAGUCAGAUACAGAAAAGUGCAUGCACUAAAGUAUUAUGGUUUACCAUAUGGAACAUAUUCUUUGCAAACGUGCUAUCAGGGUCUGCUCUCUACCGGGUGAAUGUCUUUCUAGAGCCAAAAGAGAUUCCCACAAUACUGGCUGAAGCUGUACCUGCACAGGCAUCAUUCUUCAUAGCAUAUGUUGUGACGUCUGGAUGGACCAAUAUAGCAUCAGAACUCUUUCAGUUGCUUCGAUUUAUUUGCAAUUUGAAAAAUAGAAUUUGUUCUGGGGAAAGUGCUGAUGAAUUGGAGGCCCCUUCAAUCCCCUAUCACAGUGAAAUCCCCAGGAUUCUUUUAUUUGUUCUUCUUGGCAUCACUUACUUCUUCCUUGCUCCAUUGAUACUGCCCUUCCUCUUGGUGUACUUUUGUUGGGGAUACAUCAUUUAUCGCAACCAGCUCUUGAAUGUUUAUGUGCCAAAGUACGACACUGGAGGAGAAUUUUGGUCUAAAGUUCACAACUCCACAAUUUUUUCCCUGGUACUGAUGCAUGUCAUCGCUAUUGGAAUAUUUGGUCUGAAGAAGCUUCCUCUAGCAUCGGGCCUCACCAUACCUCUUCCAAUUCUGACACUUUUAUUUGAUGAUUACUGCCGGAAACGAUUCUUACCUUUGUUCAAGGAUUUCCCUGCCGAGCAUGAUUUGAUGAGGCAGCAGCUAAAGUUUGUUUUGUUGAACGCCAAGAUAUUGUUGUAACAACAUCCAUUAGGCGCAUAUCAAGUUUUCUGUGAAUUGCCAGACUAAUUAUAUAUCUUAACGUGAUUGCAUCCACCACAGGAGAAUAUGUAUCUUCAUAAUCAAUACCAGCUGCUUAUUUUCUCCCCCUAAUGUUGGCAAAAUUGUUUCAUCAAAAUGGCAAUCGUCAAAACGUGCCAUGAAUAGAUCUCUAGUUAAUGGUUCUAGAUACUUGAUUAUAGAAGGAGAUUUAAAACCAACAUAUAUUCCCAACCUUUUUUGAGAUCUCAUCUUUGUGCGUUGUGGUGGAGCAAUAGGAACAAACAUCGCAGAUCCAAAAAUUCUAUGAUGGGAAAUAUUUGGCUCCUGAACAAAAACCAAUUGUAAUGGGAAAAAUUUAUGAUAACUUGUUGGCCUGACAUGCACAAGUGCUGCUGCAUGUAAAAUCGCAUGUCCCCAUGCAGAAAUAGGAAGUUUUGUCCUUAAGAGCAUUGGUCUAGCUAUUAAUUGGAGGCGUUUAAUGAAUGAUUCUGUUAAAUCAUUUUGAGUGUGGACAUGAGCAACAAAUUUUUCAACUGUUAUUCCAGUUGAUAUACAAUAUUCAUCAAAAAUUUGUGACAAAAAUUCAUUUGCAUUAUCAAGACGAAUUGUCUUAAUUGCAUAAUCUGAAAAUUGUGCUCUUAAUCAAA